GAGGAGGAGGAGGAGGAGGAGGAAGAGGGGGGAGUCAGAGCCGAGGGCUCACGGUGCAUGUAGCACAUCAGAUCUCCCUCAAUUAAUCCAACAUUAGGUGCCUGGGAUCCACGAGUCAGUGCUUUUGGAAAGCAUGUGUGGCUCAAAUCUAAUUAUUCUCUCCCUUUCUUUGAGCCGGAGAGGGUGGAGAGAGAUAGAGAGAGAGACAGAGAGAGAGAGUGGCCAUCCACGUAGCUGUAGAUUUUGUUAUGCUGUGAUUUCUCUCUCUCUCUCCCUUGCUCGCCCGCUCACUCCGAACCCCCUUCUACCCCCACCUCCUCCUCUCUCUCACUCAUUCUCCAUCUCUCGCUCACACACACGCGCGCCAAACACUCUCUCUCUCCUCCUCUGCCUCUCUCUCUCAGUCUGUCUCUCCCUCCCUCAGCUUCACUCGCUCUUGUGCUGUAAGUUCAUUCGCUGUGUCAAGCAACAACUGGCUCGGGAGUGGGCAGUGGGUUUUGAUCCUUUUGUCAAGCAUCCCCCCUGCAAGUGUGUACCGCGUCCACCUGCACACCGCGGGACUGGCCGCCUGGCUCUCUCUAACAUCGCCGUACCAUCCUGGGUUUAUCACGAUCCGGCAUCCCACCUUGCUGAGAUGGACGGCACAAUGAGAUGCUAAAGGUUUGACGGGGCGAACCUGCUACUUUGGACUAUCAUCAUCACCAUCAUCGGGAUCAUCGCAGUGGCAAUGGGAGUCAGGACAUGGAUGCUAGCCGGAGGAUCUCCGCAGGGUCCUUGCAUCCCAGACGAGCCGUUGAGAAGCCCUUGCCUUGCGCUACAAAGCAUCUUCAAUCAAUUGUUUUGAAAAGGCCUUUCCGUUUUCUGACGAUGCCGGCGGUUCUGUUGUUUCUCUCUGUAAAGGACUCUCUUCGGUGACGGGUAUUCUUGGGUGGAUAAUACGGCUCUCGUUGUUAUUGCUUAAGAAUACGCGUAGUCGAGGAGAGUCAUGUCGGCGGCAACUGCAAUGGACUAGAGAGAGCGUUGAAUCCAGAAGGCCCACCUGCCUGCACGCACACAUGCGUUUGCUAACGCCGAGGUUCACGCCCACAUCCAUUUAUUGAGUCAGUGAAGCUGCAUUUCCUGUUUGUGUGUGAUGCUUGUGCUGUUGAUUUAUCCGGCUACUCCUGCUUUUCAGCCAGCGCAAAGGAAAAACUGUGUUUUUUAUGAUUCGCCGUCCUCACUCCAAAGGCUGUAUAUUGUACCGUCCCGGGCUGGGUUGUAGAUGCAAAUGUGUUCCAUUUGUGUCAUAUAUUCUUUUUUCUCAGGACCGCACACACACUCUACCUUUUUAAUGCAAAUUGAUUUUGAAAUGACAUUUAUCGUGCAGGGGUUCCAUAUGGUACACCGGGGGGGGUUGGAUGAAAAAAAAAAAAAAUGAAUGGAAUGUCCACGAUGCCACUGACAGCUAAAUUUAUGCAGAUUGUAAAGGAACACACUGCAGAUAAACAGUUACCACGGCUUUAGAUUGACCGCGGCGUGGCUUCCCGUGUAGGCACGCGUAUAUCAUGAAUAUGUAUUACGCGAGCAUAUGAUGCUGCAUUCUAACAUCCAUGAAAUCCAUUUAGGGAACCUAAUAGGAUCUACUUGACUUAUGAAAGCUUAUGAUCAAAUCUUAUAAAUAUACAUGAGAUAGUUUUAUGUGAAAAAAAAAGGAUUCUUUUGCUUUUUUAUAUAGAUGUAGUUUGCAUAAAAACGAAGAGACUGCAUUCGGACUGGCUGUUGAUGUAUUGACAUGGACGAUUUGCAAAUCUGCAAACAUUUGAAUUUGUUCUCCAUUAUCUUUCGGCACAUUUAAGUCAUGCAUUAGCAUUUGAGAUAGACUAAAGGCAACAAUCAGCCCGCUCUGUCCUUGAUCACUCUGUAAUUAUCAUUCUUUCGGCUGUGUGUUUAAAUGAGUAGAGAGAAAAGAGGUGUGGAGGAGGAAUAAUGUAAUGUUUUACCACUAGGGGACCCACACAACUGAAAAUCACAGCAGCUGGUUAACUUUUAAGUAAUUUUUAUAUAAUUUUAAGGUGUUUGAGGUUCAAAACUAAUAGAAAUAUUUGGCUAGAUGAAUAUAGCUUAGAACUAGAUCUGUAAAAAAUAAUGUGAUUGUCUUUUAUUCUUAGCAUGUACAUUCAAAAUGAAUGGCGGUUCAUUUAUUCCUUUAUUAAUUUGUGCCGAACAGUGCCUUAGGAGUGACAGUUAGGUCACAUGCAACCCUAACAAUUAUCUGUUAUAUUAGAAUAUUUUCCUGAAUGUGAGAUUAAAAUGAUUUUUUUAAACUAAAAUAUUUUACAUUCAUAGUUCUGAUGUCAUUUUUAUUGAUGCUGUUUAGUAAAUACCUCGCUGUAAACUCCUCACACAGCUUAACUUCCAUCUGUCUGCAGUUUAUGACGUGAUGAAAUUAUUCAGGCCUCUGCAGCUCGUCUUCAUUUGUUCUUUAUUGAAAUUAUUUUUAUGUGCACAUCGUCUUUGUUCCUCCCUCUCCAUAUCAUAAAUAAAGCUUUAUUUAAGUAAAAUGAUGAUGCAUUUGUAUAUUUUGUCCUUUUAUAUAUUAAGAAUCGGUUUUAAAUGUUUUUUGCUUGGUCGUUUGACACCAUUUAGCGCUCUUAUCUUCUUGUUGUCUGAGCUUGUGGCAUUCGACGGCUUGCAGUUUAUUUCGCAAGACAAAAUGUAACAGAAAACAGACAUAAUAGACGCCUUUCUGGUCAUCAUCACAUCUUUAGAAUAAGAGUGAGAUGUUUUAGUGACAGGACUCAGCGUCCAUUACCCUAUAUUCUGAUCAUUCAUAGGAUCGAUGCUUCUGUUUAUGUCUCUGUUCUGCUCUCAGACAUUUGAAUUCACUCAGUUGCAAAAGCCUUUAAUUACAGAAACAUUGUCUCUGCAGUGACUUUAAUUAAUUUUAAAGGAUUUGAGAUACUGACAAAAAGUGGAGCAUGUUUGGCUACAAUUAUAUUAAUAAAAAAGGCCAUUUUGUCCCAUCUAAUGGAGGCCAAAUUAUGUAAGCUUUAU